GAUGAACGCUGGCGGCGUGCUUAACACAUGCAAGUCGAACGGAAAGGCCUCAGCUUGCUGGGGUGCUCGAGUGGCGAACGGGUGAGUAACACGUAGGUGAUCUGCCUUUCACUUCGGGAUAAGCUUGGGAAACUGGGUCUAAUACCGGAUAUUCACGGCACCGUGGUUGGUGUGGUGGAAAGCUUUUGCGGUGGGAGAUGAGCUUCCGGCCUAUCAGCUUGUUGGUGGGGUAAUGGCCUACCAAGGCGGCGACGGGUAGCCGGCCUGAGAGGGUGUGCGGCCACAUUGGGACUGAGAUACAGCCCAGACUCCUACGGGAGGCAGCAGUGGAGAAUGAUGCACAAUGGGCGGAAGCGUGAUGCAGCGACGCCGUGUGGGGGAAGAAGGCCUUCGGGUAGUAAACUCCUUACGUCAGGAACGAAGUUUGUUUGACGGAACCUGGAUAAGAAGCACCGGCAAACUACGU
rnacentral:rRNA from 1 species